rnacentral:rRNA from 1 species
AUAGAACGCUGGCAGCAGACCUGACACAUGAAGAUCGCGCGAGUGGCGGACGGGUGAGUAAUGUCUGGGAAACUGCCUGAUGGAGGGGGAUAACUACUGGAAACGGUAGCUAAUACCGCAUACCAUCGGAUGUGCCCAGAUGGGAUUAGCUAGUAGGUGGGGUAACGGCUCACCUAGGCGACGAUCCCUAGCUGGUGUGAGAGGAUGACAAGCCACACUGGAAAGUAGAAACGGUACAGACUCAUACGGGAGGAAGCAGUGGGGAAGAGUGCACAAUGGGCGCAAGCCUGAUGCAGCCAUGCCGCGUGUAUGAAGAAGGCCUUCGGGUUGUAAAGUACUUGCAGCGGGGAGGCGUGACCCGCAGAAGAAGCACCGGAUAACUCCGUGCCAGCAGCCGCGGUAAUAC